rnacentral:lncRNA from 10 species
GUGACGACCCCGCCGGGCACGAUGCGCUCAAAGGCGGCCAGGUCCUGCUUAGACACCGUGGAGAACGGCAAGCGCCGCACGGGGUAGCGCUCCCGGGUCAGCGGCACCUCGGGGGUCCCCGGGGCGGAGCAGCAGCCUCUGCGGGCCAGGGGGCCAACCGGCCGACCCCAAGAACCCGCGGCUCCCGGAGCACCCCGCAACAGCCACGCGGGCCACGCCAGAGGCCGACGGGGCAGCAUCGCCGCCGGGACGGAGACCUCGGGCUCCUCCUUGGUGGGGGGCCGGUACUCAGGGCCCGGAGGGGAAGGGCAGGGAGCCGCUGGCUGCGCGCCUGGAAGUGGCCAAGGGCACCGACUGGCUGACGGCGCCCGAGAUCGCGCCCCGCCACCCCGACCCGCGGCUGAACCGCAGACCGGGACCCUCAGCCCAGCGCUCCGCGCGGCCGCGCGCACGCACCCACGAUCACGUCCCGAGCUCCAACCCGCAGCGCCCGCCGCAGGCCCAGAGCCGCCGAGCCGGAGUGGGCGGGGCGACGCCGCGCCUGCGCAUUGACGGCUCCGCCCAGCGGCCGAAGCCCCGCCCCGCGCGCCUAACGGGCCCCGCCCCGCCUGCCCUCCAGGCCCAGCCCUGCGCGCCUACAGUCCCCGCCCCGCCGUCCAAGCCCCGCCCCGACUGGCACCGGAGGCUCGACGGCCACCGCCUCGUCCUGCGUUUCCUGAGGGCCUCCGGCGCGCCGGCUGUCGGGCGCAUCCCUCCAGAGAUGAGGUCUCAUGUGCUGCCCAGGCUGGUCUCGAACUCCUGGACUCAAGCGAUCCGCCCGCGUCGGCCUCCCAAAGCACUUGUUACUUCAGCUCACCCAAUUCCAUAGAACCCUAGCGGGUGCAGAGGAUGCCAAUCUCUGAGCAGAUGAGGGCAGAGAGCAGGAGACCACACUUGGCCCGAGGCAGGACUGCGGAGCUGUGCAAGAGGUGGAGGCUACGCCCGUGACAGCAGAUGGGUCCUGGUAGUCACACAGAAAACCGGCGAGCUGGAUUUGUCCUGGUGAUGAGGCUCUGGAGCAGCAGUUGCAAGGAGUCAUUCCUGUCCUCCUUAACCACAUCCCCAGAGGCCACUCACCUUCUUCCCAGGUGAAUCAUUCAUACAACCCUGGAAAGGAGACAUCCACCUGGCCCUUCCUACCUGGCUGGCCCUUGCUCUGCAGAUGAGUGUGGGAGUUUGCCCAUUGUCAAGGGUAACUGUUGCAAUUACACAUUCAGGAACUGGAAAGACGACCACAGAUGAGGUCUGUGGACCCCCUUACCACCUGACCUCCACACGCCCUCCCUUUGACUAGCAGGCCAGUGGCAUCUUGGACCCCUGGGAUUAGGAAUGAUUCAAAACCCAUAAAGAUUACCACCCAUACCAUCCCCUAAAAUAACUGAUUUUUCUGACCAGGCACGGUGGCUCACGCCCAUAAUACCAGCACUUUGGGAGGCUGAGGCAGGUGGAUCACCUGAGGUCAGGAGUUCGAUACCAACUGUGGGCGGCAAGCCACCCAGGUGCCGAGGCAAGAGACCGAAGACACGAGCUGUUCCAGUAUAAUAAAAUAAGAAUAGUUAUACCAGAUAUAGAUCUUAGAUAUGAUUAUAUAUGAAUAUCAUUAAUCAUUAGUUGGUAGCAAUUACUCUUUAUUCCAAUAUUAUAAUAAUCCUCGCUCUACAAUCAUAACCUAGGAAAAACCAGGCCAUACAGAGAUAGGAGCUGAGGGGACAUAGUGAGGAGUGACCAGAAGAGUGCGAGCCUUCUGUUAUGCCCAGACAGGGCCACCAGAGGGCUCCUUGGUCUAGCGGUGACGCCAGCGUCUGGGAAGACACCCGUUACCUAGCGGACCGUGGUCUAGCGGUAGCGAAAAGUGUCAAGAAACACCACCCGCUACUUAGCAGACCGGAAAAGGGAGUCUCCCUUUCCCCGGGGGAGUUUAGAGACGACUGUACUCCUCCACCUCUUGUGGAGGACCUGACAUCAGUCAGGCUCGCCCGCAGUUAUCCGGAGGCCUAACCGUCUCCCCGUGAUGCUGUGCUUCAGUGGUCACGCUCCUAGUCCGCCUUCAUGUUCCAUCCUGUACACCUGGCUCUGCCUUCUAGAUAGCAGUAGCAAAAUUAGUGAAAGUACUAAAAGUCUCUAAUAAGCAGAAAUAAUGGCGUAAGCUGUCUCUCUGUCUCCUCUCUCUCUCUGCCUCGGCUGCCAGGCAGGGAAGGGCCCCUGUCCAGUGGACACGUGACCCACAUGACCUUACCUAUCAUUGGAGAUGGCUCACUCUCCUUAUCCUGACCCUUUGUCUUGUAUCCAAUAAAUAUCAGUGCAGCCUGGCA